rnacentral:rRNA from 1 species
UACGAAGGGUGCAAGCGUUACUCGGAAUUACUGGGCGUAAAGCGUGCGUAGGCGGUUUGUUAAGUCCGUUGUGAAAGCCCUGGGCUCAACCUGGGAAUUGCAGUGGAUACUGGCGAGCUAGAGUGCGGUAGAGGAUGGUGGAAUUCCCGGUGUAGCGGUGAAAUGCGUCGAGAUCGGGAGGAACACCCAUGGCGAAGGGCGCAAGCUCG